UUAUUUCAGUUUUGUUCGACGAUUUAACUAAUUAAUAAUUCCUAGAUUGUGAAAAUAAACUUAGAAAAUAUUAGAAAAUAAACUUUACGCUUGUUUGAUUAACACGAGAAAAUAAGAAGAAAAUUUUAAUCAAAAAUAUAUUUACGGUUGAUUAUCUUGUUACUGUUCAUUUAUUCAGUCAUGCGCAUUAAAGUUUCCAUUUUUGUUCGGGAUUCUACUGUAGUACGAAUCGGGUCGCAUCGAUGAAUUAGAACCGUAUUUGGAUCCGCAACAACUAGAACUUGCACGUCAAUUCGAAAUUCAACUUGCAAUUCAAACGGGAUGAAAAAUAAUUUCCAAAAAAAAAUAGUCGACUUAUCUUUCGAUUCCGAUCGUUGAUCCGAAGCCCGUGAUUGUUUAUCCAAACGAUCAAAUUUCUCGUUACCAGACACUAUGCUAUUCAGUGCCUGUCGACUUAAUAACCGUGUGUGGUACCACAUUACAACAUUGUUGGUACAAAAUUUAUCCAUCUAUUGUGCGUGAAUCGUUUGCAAGUUCGAAACAAAAGAAACGACAAUUUUACAACUGUGACGAAAGGAAGUAUCUACAGUUUAUAACGAGAAGGAUUUGGAUGGACAAAGAGCGUAGUUCCUGAGUGAAUCUCAUCUUGUUUAUAUUGAUUAUCUAAAGAAGAGAAGCUAGCCAGAAGGGAGAUUCGUAUCCCGUGCAAAGGGAUUGAAAAACGCGCAGAGACAUUAUGGAGCUAAUUUAGAGGGAAGAAGAAAAAAAGAGGAGGGAAAGGUCGUGGAUGGAACGGGACGAUUCGUUAGGUAAAAAAGAGAAAAGGAAACGAAGAAAGAGGAGGCAGAGAUGGGCGAGAGGGGUGACAAGAGAGAAGAUACGACGAGGACCAAGAGAUCGCGGAAUGGAACAAGAGUGGAGUAAUCAAUACGCAUUCACACGCGGUGGCUAGCAUCCCGUUUCCAUGGUAACCGACGCUGGCGCAUGCGCGACUCGACCGACACCAUACCGUUAUAGAAAUUUACUUAUCGUCAGAGACGAGUCCGUCCGUGUACGGCGCGGAACUUACCAAUCGACGAGCCUCAGACAUUAUCCACGAUAUUCCACGUGCAUACAUGUAUCAACAUUGCGUUUUAAACCUACUGCAGACGCAAUCCGGAUCCAAUUCUAUUUUCCAGCGUAACAAAUCAGCGUUCGUUACACCGUACACAAUCUUCUUUUCAAACACGAAUGAAAUUCUAUCAUUUGUCCCUUCGACGACGGGGAAAAUGUGGAGCUCGGUCACCGCGGCGGGCAGCGAGAACGGGCCCGCGCCACCCUCCAGAAGCAAGCACAGCGCCACUCUGCUCUCCGGCCACGUAUACCUCCUCGGAGGACGGAACGGCAAUCUUCCCCUCAAGGAUCUUUGGCGAUACAGCCUCGCCGACAGUAAAUGGGAGGAAUUGCAUCCUGGUGGGGAAAGGCCGCCGGCACUUCAGGAGCACAGCGCGGUAGCUUACAAGGAUUGCCUUUAUAUCUUUGGGGGCGAGCUCGGAUUUUCCGCGGGCACGGAAACGCCGCUUUGGGUCUACAAUGUCAAGACCAACGCGUGGAGGAAGGUGAGGGCGCAACGAGGUUGCGCCGUUCCAAGGGGUCGAAGAGGUCACACCGCGUUGGUCCAUCGUGGCCAGAUGCUCAUUUACGGCGGUUAUCAGGAUUUACGCGGCAGCUCCCCGGAAUUGUGGGCAUUUCAUUUCGAGACGGAAUCCUGGCACCUUUUAUCCUCGAGCGAGAGUGGGCCAGCUGCGAGGCACAAACACUCGGCGGUGUUGCACGGUGACGCGAUGUACAUUUACGGCGGAAUGACCGACCUGCAGGAGAGAAGCGAUUGCUGGAGAUGGGACGUGAACACUGCCUCUUGGUGCCUGUUAAGGAACAAACCGGGACCUGGCCCCCUCCACGGCCACGCUGCCUGCAGGCUACCCAGUUGCAUGCUGAUUUUCGGCGGGGAGAGCGGUGGUCUGGCCACGAACGAACUCUGGAGGUUUCAUUUCGGUACGGAAACGUGGGAGAAAUUAUCAGUGCCAGGGCCUAAACCCCAGCCAAGAGCGGAGAGCGUGGCGUUGGCUGUUUCCGAGUUGUUGAUCAGAGGGGCCAAUAUCGAUAAUACGAAGCCGAAGCCGAAGAGUCAAAGGACCAGGCUGUGCAACAACAGGAUAUCGCCUAACGAGGCGCCAGCCAGGCCGAGCUUCCUCAAGGAGAUUUCUAAAUUGUCACAAAUCAACCUGUCCCGGUUGAGCCACCCGACCAAGUGCAGCUAUUCCGUCUUGAGCGGGCAGGACGAUAACGAGGAAAGUCCUCAAGAGGCGAGUACGUAUUAUCCGUUUCAGCAAGUGGACUCGGAAGUUUGCGAGCCGUCCACGGGGAUGGUGAAGUCGCGAAGCGCCAACACGCUUGCCCGUCGAAGGCAGAAGCCGGCGGGGGAGGGUUCCGCGUCGAGGAACGCGGACGCUGGUACAACCGGGAACAAUCCUCCCAGCAACACCGGCAUGACCAGAGAUCCUAUCUCGGUGCCGAAUUUCCGCGCGUUGACCUUACCCACCCCCGUUCUCACCCCCGUGGAGGCGGCAAGGCUGGUGUUCGUCGACCUGGACGAGAACAGCGACAACGAGGAGCGAACGGAACCUCCUACAUCGAGGUUGAUCGAAGUGCAAGAGGAGAAACGAGAUUUCGCGGCCGUGCACCAAGCUUGCCAACCGACGCGGGGCGAGAGUUACAGCUCCCACCUCUACGAGGCCGCCCUUCAAACGCCGAAGACGCCGACCACCUCGAAAAUUCCCACCUCGGCUUCGGUCCGUUUCGCCGAUCUGGAGGAGGGCGAGGAGUCGACGUCGGAUUACGCGAGCAUAGAGGCGAGAAGUCCCGGGGAUCCCCUGGCCGACGACGAUUGGCCGUCGGGACGGAAGGGCAAGCAGUAUCGGCCCAUGGCUACGCCAUCCACGAUACGCGAGGGCCAAUUCGGAUUUUGCAAUCCGAAUUACCUCGGGCUCGAUGAGACGAAGAAUCAUCACCAUCAUCAGCAUCACAAUCAGCAGCAGCAACAGCAGCAGCAUCAGCAGCAUCAGCAACAGCAGCAACCUCAAGAUGGGAAGUACGCGAAACUGUUGAACAGCCCACCGGACAGUGUUUUAGAGGACGAGCCGGGAAGAUCCGCGUCGCAGACGUUCGCGGAACUGUUGGAGCUUCAAGAAAUCAAGAGAGUGCCGAGGGCACCGCCGAAAAGUUUACCGUUAGGCUCACCGUCUAGAAGAGCGGUGAGCGCGUCGAGGGCCGAAAGGCAGAGGGCGAAAGUAGCCGCGAUCGAAGAGUCGGAGACACCUUCGUACGGACCAGCGCCCCUUUACGUGUUCUUAGUUGGAGGGAAGGAAAAGGGACAGGUGACCGUGUUCGCGAGGCCCGUUUCAUUGUGGAAAUUGCAAUUAGCGCCACACAUCUUUUAAAGAAAAUGAAUGAUAAAUUUCCGUCGAAGAAACAUUUUCCCUCCCAUUGUGUUUUAAAAUGUUAUGAAAGAAGAAGAAGAAGAAGGAGAAGAGGAAGAGAAUCGAUAAAUGCACUUUUCUUAAUUGCCAAAUGUUAUAUCAUUGCAAUUAAUCACGUUUAGCUCGUAGAAAGAGGGCUUUUCUAGUUUUCUAUAUCAAUAUAUUUAUCGUUGAAUACAACGCGUCUGUUCAGAGCAAAUGUUAAUACCAAAGCGCAAGUCAAACGAGCGAAAUGUGCAAUCAUUUGUCCACGACUGCGCCCUUUCAAUCUUAAGUGGGUAUACGUAGCAUCUUAUAAGAAUUAUGAUAAGAUCGAAACUUUAAAUCCACGUUUAUUAUAUUGUACGUGAUACAAUUUUUCAUAUUAUAGCGAGUAAUACGUGUGAUAGAUUAUUUAAAUUAUUAAUUUUUUGAUUCGAAAAUUGAGAGAUAACAUCAAAAGACUCGCCUGAUCUGCGCUUAACUGCCAUCGACUGUGAACACGAUAUGCAUAGAAAAUAGAAAUUAAAAUGUAAUAAGCUCGACGUGUAACGUUUGACGUUUAAAACAUUCUGAAUAUUAAUGGAAAUCGAUGUGUGAUUGUGCCCAAUGUGAAUAAUUAAAAGUACGUUUCAAUUAUAUUCGAUAAAAAUUAGAUUUUUUAUAAGAAGAUAGAUAAAUUUUAAGUGGGAUUUUCUCGUCGAUAAUCUGCAGACUGGACUAAAAUCUAGAAAUAAUUAUGAAAUGAAAACUAGUACGAUUGAUUUUCGUUUUAACUUCAUCACGAAACGAGAUAUUUCUAACGCGCGAAACGUACAAUCGUGUAAAAGUAAAAAAAAAAAAAAAAUUGUGUUCUAAAAAUAUUAUAGGGAAUAUGUAUAAAACAAAAGAAUCAAUGAAGUCAAAAGUCUCUAACUAUGACUGCUAUUUAUGAUGCUAGCGUAUCAUAGAUCUGAUAGAUAUAUCAUAAGCGAAGAAAAUGGUAAAAUACGAUGGAAGAUCUCUUGUUCAUGUAGAAUUUUUAUGCCCACAAAGGCCCAAUACAUGUAAUCCAUCCAUAUAGUAGCAAAGGUCAACGUGGAACCUCAUAGGCUGAAUAUUAAAACAUUUUGUAUUCGUAAUAAUUUUAAUAUUCAUUUCAUACAGAAAGAAGAAACAUAAGAAUGGAAAAAUUUAUCUGUCCUAAAAUGUUAAUUUCUGUAGAAUAUUUUAUAAUGAUAAAACUGUGUUUAGGAUUUAGUAAGGGCAUGUGCAAUAUGUACAUAUUAUUAUAUAAAUGUAUAUAAGUAUUCUUUGUUGAAAUUAAAACACAACUUUGUUUAACAAUAUUAUAUUUUUUGAUAAUAUUCAGCUAGAGGCCGCAAGCACCCGAAAAAAAAAAAUCAAUGUUUUCCAUUCGUAGCACUAGUCAAUUUUACAUUUCACAAUCAUUGUACAAACGUUAAGAUAAAUGUUUCGUAAUGUUAUUUCUUUCCUAGAAUUUUUUAGUCUAAUAUUUAUUCAUUUUCAAUAUGUAUAAUAUUAUCCACGAUAUUUUUUUGCAUUAUAUACAUAAUUGUUCUCCCAUUUUGACAAGAAAUUAACAACUAUAAUUGAUUAAUUAAUCGUACGAAAUAUACAUAUAUACCGCCUUUAAAUUUUCGAUUAUCUCGUAAUUUCAUAGUUCUAUAAAUUUAAUCAAUUUCGUACGACGUACAACUUAAUUUAACGAGAAAAUAAAUUUUAUGAUUUAAAAUGAAAGUAAAAGCCAAACAGAAGUAUAUAUUUAAAAUAAUUAACAUUUCCGCGUAAAUAUUAUUUUAAGUCCUAUACAUGAAUAAUGCAAUCUGAUAGUCAAUUAUGAUCGUAUCGUUAAAUAUAUCCGUUGCCAAAUAUGUACCUAUAUUUCUCUUUAGAAUGUCUUGCCUCAUAAACAAGAUUUGGAGUAUAAGCUCGAAGAUGUGGGUCAGUUCACAAAAUGAACAAAAAAAAAAAAAAAAAAAAAAAA